GAAGUGAAAAGAGUAAUGCUCUCAUGGUAUAGAGUUCAAUUGGUAGCCAAAAAAUCACAGAGCAUUCACCAUAAACAACCUUUACAAGGUACAAGUAAUAAAAAUAUCAGACCAAACAUUCAGUCAACAUCUCAUCUAUCUUCCGAUUAAAAAAAAAAAAAAAACAUGCAUAGUUCAAAAAUAGUCACCAUGAGCUUUGUAGAGUUCUAAAAAGAAGGUUGAGAUAGAGCUUAUCAUUCAAAAUCAUCAUCAGAUGAUCACACGUUGAGAGGACUAGAUGGUGAGUCAUUGCCUUCAGCUGUUGCUUCCUGAACUCUCCUGCUCCUAGUCUUAUCCUCAACAGCAGGUUCCAAUGAUUGAACUCUACUGUCAGCAUUCUCCCUUGUAGAACGCUUCACUGCAGGGACUUGCAGGUUCACACUGUCACCUUCAGCAAUUUUUUGCUAUCUUCUUUGGAAAUUCCAUUUCUAUCCCCAACCAUCUGUACAGAAAUCUCAUUCUUUCCCUCAUCUUUGUCAACUGAGCUAUCAUCAAGAUGAAUUUUCCUCUUCUUGUUGGCCCUCUGGGGCUUGCAAUUAACUUUAGGUUCCUCUGAACUGCCAACACCAGUUUUUUCAAAACUAUUUGCAACAGCUUCAAUCUUUACAGGAUUUUCCCCAUGAUCAAUUUUAUUCUGGUCAAUGGCCAUCUGAGGCUCAAUAGUUUGAGCAGCAGUCUUUCCAGAAUCAGUCUCUCCAGCUUCAGCAGGAAUCUCCUCGGAGCCAACCACCUCAUCCUCAAUUGAUUCCUCUACAUUAUCCAAAUUCUCUUCAGUCUGGCGUUGCAGUGACUCGAUCACAGCCAUCAGUUCUCGGUUAACCUUAGGAUCUUGAAGGAAAUCAGAGAUGUCUGUUGGACACUUUGGGCAAUUCAUGACAUUCUUCUGUGCUCGUAGUGUCCGUCCACCUCUACUUCUCUCUCUCAUAAGCGUCUUCCCAGUGAAUGCACCUUCCAAGCAUGACUUACAGAAGUUAUGUGCACAGGGUGUUGUAAUUGGUUGAGUCAUCACUUGGCCACAGAUUUGACAACUGAACUCUUUUAGAAGCUUCUCCCUCACAUUUGUACUCUGUGCUUUCUUUAUGGCUUUCUGUGACCUCUUCCUGUCCUCAGGAUUUCCGGUAUCAACCGGCUUUUGGCUAGGAGGUGGAGGUUUUUUCCACUUCCAGCGACCGUCUUCUUCAUCAUAGUCCCAUGAUGGACUUUCCUUUCUCUCUGUUUUGUCAGUUGCCUUGGCCAGCUCUUUUACAACAGGCAAAGGCCUAGGUCGGUCCCCAUGCUCAUCACUUGUCCACGGUGCAGGUUCAUUGUCACAUCUAACAAAUAAGUACCGGCAGACCUUGUAACCUUGAAUUCCAACCUUACGCCAACAUUUCUCUAUUCUAUAGACCCCAUCAUAGCGCACCCCACUCUCAGGGGCAUAAGAGGACCGCUUCUCCUUGUGGGAUCUCACAACUCUGACAGGAUAGCCAUUUUUGCAACUCACUCUAAGAGCUUCAUUAAAUUUCUCAAACUUUUGGUCAAAGGAUUGAUCCUUGUUAGUUCGUUUGUUUCCGCUGAGAUCUCUGCCACCACUUCCAGUAUAGAGGAACCAUUCCCCAUGAUCUUCAUCAUCUACGUAGCCUCCAGAAAGUGCCACAGACUGUGCACCAUAGUUUGCUUGCCCAGCAAUACCAGCGACAUGGGGAAGGUGUACACCCCACUGCCUACAUUCCAAUCUAUCUUCCCAACACUCCCCAACCAAGACACCUUGAUUUCUCUCAGGGUCAUUUUCAGCUGGGAUAGGCCCAAAAUGAUCUGGUGGCACAGUGACAAAUAUCUUCCCACUGCAAGCAUUGGACUUACCAGCCCUCUGUGCCCGUUCUGUAGUAAAUGCCUUGUCUGGCCUGUUCUGAUUAUGUACAAAAUGGAAAACCUUCGGGAGCCCUCCAGCAACAAUUGUUUUUGACAACUUUGCCAUACGAAUGGCAGACACAAGGCUAGAAUUAAUACGUGGCUGACUGGCCAUUUUUGAGGGAAUUGGGCUCCUACAUUUUGCACAGGUGAGCUUCCCUUGUCCAAUCCAUUUCUGGAAG
rnacentral:misc_RNA from 1 species